rnacentral:rRNA from 1 species
AACGCUGGCGGCGUGGAUAAGACAUGCAAGUCGAACGAAGAAUCUCAAUAGCUUGCUAAUGAGAUUCUUAGUGGCGGACGGGUUAGUAACACGUGAGAUACCUACCCUUUAGACAGGAAUAGCCCAUGGAAACGUGGAAUAAUACCUGAUAGUCUCUACGGAGUAAAUGAUGCCUUCGGGUGUCGCUAAAGGAUGGGCUCGCGGCCUAUCAGUUUGUUGGUGAGGUAAAGGCUCACCAAGACUACGACGGGUAGCUGGUCUGAGAGGACGAUCAGCAACACUGGAACUGAGACACGGUCCAGACACCUACGGGUGGCAGCAGUCGAGAAUCAUUCACAAUGGAGGAAACUCUGAUGGUGCAACGCCGCGUGGAGGAUGACGGCCCUAGGGUUGUAAACUCCUGUCAUUGGGGAGUAAGACUUAUGCGUUAAGAGCGUGUAAGUUUGAUAUUACCCAAAGAG